AACGUACGCUGGCGGCACGCCUAACACAUGCAAGUCGAACGAAGUAGCAAUACUUAGUGGCAGAACGGGUGAGUAACAUGUAGGUAUCUGCCCUUUGGCCUGGAAUAACACGAGGAAACUCGUGCUAAUACCGGAUAAGUCUUUACGGAGAAAGCUUUAUGCACCAUUGGAUGAGCCUGCACUUGAUUAGUUUGUUGGUGGGGUAAUGGCCUACCAAGACUGUGAUCAAUAGCUGAUUUGAGAGGAUGAUCAGCCACAUUGGGACUGAGACACGGCCCAAACUCCUACGGGAGGCAGCAGUGGGGAAUCUUGCACAAUGGAGGAAACUCUGAUGCAGCGAUGCCGCGUGAGUGAAGAAGAGCCCUUGGGUUGUAAAGCUCUUUCGUCGGGGAAGAAAAUGACUGUACCCGAAUAAGAAGGUCCGGCUAACUUCGUGCCAGCAGCCGCGGUAAUACGAAGGGACCUAGCGUAGUUCGGAAUUACUGGGCUUAAAGAGUUCGUAGGUGGUUGAAAAAGUUAGUGGUGAAAUCCCAGAGCUUAACUCUGGAACUGCCAUUAAAACUUUUCAGCUAGAGUAUGAUAGAGGAAAGCAGAAUUUCUAGUGUAGAGGUGAAAUUCGUAGAUAUUAGAAAGAAUACCAAUUGCGAAGGCAGCUUUCUGGAUCAUUACUGACACUGAGGAACGAAAGCAUGGGUAGCGAAGAGGAUUAGAUACCCUCGUAGUCCAUGCCGUAAACGAUGUGUGUUAGACGUUGGAAAUUUAUUUUCAGUGUCGCAGGGAAACCGAUAAACACACCGCCUGGGGAGUACGACCGCAAGGUUAAAACUCAAAUGAAUUGACGGGGACCCGCACAAGUAGUGGAGCAUGUGGUUUAAUUCGAAGAUACGCGCAGAACCUUACCAACACUUGACAUGUUCGUCGCGACUCUAAGAGAUUAGAGUUUUCGGUUCGGCCGGACGAAACACAGGUGCUGCAUGGCUGUCGUCAGCUCGUGUCGUGAGAUGUUGGGUUAAGUCCCGCAACGAGCGCAACCCUCACUUUUAGUUGCCAUCAUUAAGUUGGGCACUCUGAAAGAACUGCCAGUGAUAAGCUGGAGGAAGGUGGGGAUGACGUCAAGUCCUCAUGGCCCUUACGUGUUGGGCUACACACGUGCUACAAUGGUAUCUACAACAGGAAGCAAAACUGCGAAGUUAAGCAAAUCCCUAAAAGAUACCUCAGUUCGGAUUGCACUCUGCAACUCGAGUGCAUGAAGCUGGAAUUACUAGUAAUCGUGGAUCAGCGUGCCACGGUGAAUGCGUUCCCGGGUCU
rnacentral:rRNA from 1 species